GUCUUUUAGAGUUGUAUUUAAAGUCUGACCUGCCCACUGAUUUUAUUUAAAUGGCCGCAGUAUUCUAACUGUGCAAAGGUAGCAUAAUCAUUAGUCUUUUAAUUGAAGGCUGGUAUGAAUGGUUGGACGAAGUAUAAGCUGUUUCAUAUAAAUUUUUAUUAGAAUUUUAUUUUUUAGUUAAAAAGCUAAAAUAAAAUUAAAAGACGAGAAGACCCUAUAAAUCUUUAUAUUUAAUUAUAUUUAAUUUUAUUAUUGAUUAAUUUUAUUUUUAUAUUUUUAAUUAUUUUGUUGGGGUGAUGUUAAAAUUUAAUGAACUUUUAAUUAUUUUUUUAUCAUUAAUUUAUGAAUUAUUGAUCCUUUAUUAGUGAUUAUUAGAUUAAGUUACUUUAGGGAUAACAGCGUAAUUUUUUUUGAGAGUUCAUAUCGACAAAAAAGUUUGCGACCUCGAUGUUGGAUUAAGAAAUAUUUUUAGGUGUAGCUGUUUAAAUGUUAAGUCUGUUCGACUUUUAAAUUCUU
rnacentral:rRNA from 1 species